rnacentral:rRNA from 1 species
UACGGAGGGAGCUAGCGUUGUUCGGAAUUACUGGGCGUAAAGCGUACGUAGGCGGUUACUCAAGUCAGAGGUGAAAGCCCGGGGCUCAACCCCGGAACUGCCUUUGAAACUAGGUAGCUAGAAUCUUGGAGAGGUCAGUGGAAUUCCGAGUGUAGAGGUGAAAUUCGUAGAUAUUCGGAAGAACACCAGUGGCGAAGGCGACUGACUGGACAAGUAUUGACGCUGAGGUACGAAAGCGUGGGGAGCAAACAGGAUUAGAAACCCCCGUAGUCC